rnacentral:rRNA from 1 species
GACGAACGCUGGCGGCGUGCCUAAUACAUGCAAGUCGAGCGAAUCAUUAGGAGCUUGCUCCUGAUGGUUAGCGGCGGACGGGUGAGUAACACGUGGGCAACCUGCCUAUAAGACUGGGAUAACUCCGGGAAACCGGAGCUAAUACCGGAUAAUCCUUUUCCACACAUGUGGGAAAGCUGAAAGACGGUUUCGGCUGUCACUGAUAGAUGGGCCCGCGGCGCAUUAGCUAGUUGGUGGGGUAAUGGUUUACCAAGGCGACGAUGCGUAGCCGACCUAGGAGGGUGACCGGCGACACUGGGACUGGGACACGGCCCAGACUCCUACGGGAGGCAGCAGUAGGGAAUCUUCCGCAAUGGACGAAAGUCUGACGGGGCAACGCCGCGUGAACGAUGAAGGCCUUCGGGUCGUAAAGUUCUGUUGUUAGGGAAGAACAAGUAUCGGAGUAACUGCCGGUACCUUGACGGUACCUAACCAGAAAGCCACGGCUAACUACGUGCCAGCCGCCGCGGUAA